CAUAUUUGGCUCCACUCGCCAGCCAAUCGUCAAAGGGCGCUCGCUGUCCCUCUUGAUUACAGUUGUGGACUGUAGCCGUGCCAUCCCAACGGCUCUGUGAGAAGUGAGCCACCGGGAUCUCAUUUAAGGAGCAAUUUGCGGAUGCUCGCUGUGUUCCCUCAUUUGGCAUUCAUAAGCAGUUGUGACGACCUCAUCAGUUAGAUGGAGCUGACUCCGAGACGGAGAAGACAAAACCACAGACCUCAAAAUGAGUUUUUAGAAAAGAGCGUCAGGUGGUGACAGAAUUGCCCAGCCACCCUGAGUCACCUCUUGUCGCCACUGAUUUUCUUCAUAGUUCAUGGGAGCCGCACACCACAGCCUCCCUGUGCCCCCUCUUCCCAGUCCAUCAUACCUUCGACAAUCAACAGGUCACAGCCCCCUAACCCCUCCCUGUGGCUCACCACCAGCCUGCUUCUGACAGGAUGAGUUUGACCUCUGACCCCUUGAGCAGACAGCUCAAUCAGGUUUUUAUGGCACCAGUCAUAGCAGAGAAAGAGAGAGGAUAGCCACACAUGGCUCUUGGGGAGGGGGGGGGACACUGGCAGGCCUCUUUUUUCCCUUUCUCAUUGUAACCCUUCCUCAGUCACAUAGCUCCUGUGUUAGGUUUUAAUUUAUAUUUUGACAUGGCAAAUCACUUUGGGCAUCCACACCAUUCUCAUACAUUAAUCACUUCCUUUAUUUUUCAAAUCUUCUCUAAUCAUAAUCAAUGUCCUUUAAGAAUAUUAAGCAUCUAUAGCUUUUAUUUUGUUUGCCCGUACCUGGAAAGCCAUAACCCCAUACUGAAGAAUAAAAUUUGAUUGAGGAGAUAUUUAAAAAAAAAAACUGAGAACUGUGAUGCAAAUUUGGCCCCUCGUUCACAGCAGAAUCGCUAGUGAUGUUUGCUCCCCUAAGUCCUCCGAGCUCCACCGCUGAUUUAACCUCCAGGGAUGAGCAGCCAGUGAUCACAACGCUCAGAGGAAGUUAGCGGCCUCCGCUCUCCAGAGGCCAGCACUUCCUCUUGAUUUCGCCUGUUCUGUCGAGAAAGAAAAGGAAGGUAAAGAUAAAAAAACACCCCUGCUAUGCUGUGUGUGUGGGCUUCACACAACUGUAAAACUGCGUCAUCAGCACAAAGAUGAAACUCUUAGUGUGUGUGUGUGUGUGUCUGUGCGUAAGUGCAUGUGUGUAUUUUAGACAAGGUGCCUGCCCUGGAGCUAGAUAAUGUGAACAGAAGCAGAUGGGGAAACUUAAACGCACACCCACUAGGGUAUAGCAGAGCUGGCACAAAGUAAGAAGAGGUCUUAGAACAUCUCCCAGCCCUAGUGGAUGCCAGCUCUCUCGCUAGCACUGAAACUGGAUGACAAAGAGAGUGAAAAAGAGAGUGAGUAAGUGAGAAAGAGAGAAUCUGUUGUGUGUGUGUGUGCCUGUGUGUGUUUUGUACAGUGCCCUGUACUUUUUGUUCUUUUUGCAUAUUUAUUUUUUUAUGGAACUGUUGGCCCUCUGUCCUUCUGUUUUGUAUCUCAUCUGUUGUGCUCCAACACUAAACAUGUCGGGGCUUAAGAAACACCACCCAGAAUGGUCCACAUAAAACCUUGCAUGUCAUUUGUUUAAAAAAUUAAAUAUGUAACAGUCAAAAAGAAGUGAAUCUAGAAGUGAGGAGCUUGGAUGCUGAUUGUGUAAAUUACAUGAUGAAUUUAACUUUAAUUAAAUGAUGAUGAUGAUGAUGAUAGAUACUUUAUUCAUCCCCAAGGGGAAAUUCACAUUUUAUUUUUCCAACACUUCCAGUAUACCAAAGAAAGACUGACUUCAACAUGACUUUACGGUGCAUUAUUACCCUCACCAUUGUGGAUAAGUAUUGUAAGUUUGUCAAGGAGGAGAAGUGUGUUCCAUGUCAAAUGAUCAAAUGAGUCUACACAUUAUAAUAGCUAAUAUGCGCUCACAUGAUCGGUUAACCCCAGAUAAUAAUUUUUCACAAUUUAAUAUGCAAUAAAACAAAUCUUCCAUACAGGUCCAAUGAGGAAUAAAUGUGUCAAUGAGGAAACAUGUUUAAAAGGGAACAUGUAUUCCUGAUUAUAUUUGGGUUUGUGCACCGUACACAUUAUCAAUAGCCUGUAUGCUGUACAGAUUGUAAAGCCGCUUGAGAGCCCCUUUGUGAUAUUGGGCUAUAUAAAUAAAAUUGACUUGACACAUUUUUUAAUCAAAGGGUUAUAUUUGAGGUUAUAUUACAUUUUGUGUUACUGUUGAAAAUGUCAGUACAUUACUAAGAACAAUAUUUUGAUAGUAUGUAUAUAUGUAUAUAUAUAUGUGUGUAUAUAUAUGCUUUCUUUAUGUACUUACGUAUAUAUAUAUAUAAGUACAUAAGUACAUAAAUGGUUUGUGUAUCCAAUAAAGGGUUACGCCUAGUACUAGUUACAUAAGUUACAGUGUACCAAUUUAUGUAAAGAACUGUUUCAAAUGUACAUCUUCUCAACUUGUCAUCAAUGCUUAAGAAAUCUGCUUAUGUUACUUUGGAUAUCUGUGUUUGUGGGGUGCUCAAUUCACUGUCAGUGGCAUUUAUUGUGCCCUCUCAGCAGCUAGUGAAACCCUGGAGGAAAUGAUGAACUUAGGGCAAUUUUAUGAAUCCUCUGAAUUGCUUAUUAUAGGUGUCUUUAACUGUUUAUCCAGCAAGCAAAGCAAAGCUAAAAGAUAUCUGUCUUGAAUGAAACUUAUCUCAGCUGAUAUCCAACAGUGCUUGAAAAAUCGUAAUAAAUCUACAUUAAUUGAUGAGCAUCAAAAGAAAUGAAAAUCCAAUGUCAAAAUGUGUUUAAAAGAGACAUUUAAAACACUUGAAUACACAAGAUUUCCUCACCAAUUUAUAUCACUCUCACAUCGGAAUAGCAUGUUCUAUUCAAGAUCCAGACUCUGUGCUACAUUAUUUUUCUAAUGUUUUACCCUCACUGCUGAUAGUCAUAGUCCUCCUUACAAAACAUUUAGAAUAAAAAAUAAAUCAAAGCCCUAGUUUUCUCCUGAACUUGCUCUAGCCAUACUUAAUAGAAAUAAACUUUGGUCCAUUGCAAGAGCUUCUGGCACAAACACUGACUGGCAGAACUUCAGACAGCAAAGGAACUGCGGCAUCACCUUCAUAAGAAAAGCAAAAUCUGAUUAUGCAUCUGUCUUCUCAAAGAGCAAUGGUAAUGGAACUGAAUUCUAGAUACUGGUAAAAAUCCUCCUCCACAUUGCUCCCACAGUUAUAAACAUUGAAACAUGCCCAUUAUUAAAAACAGUGACAUGGUUGAAGCUUUUAAUAACCAUUUGAUUGCAUCUCGUGACAUGUUUGAAAUCCUGUGCAUACACACUGUCAAGACAAAACUCCAAUAUCAAAAAUUGUCCCCUUCCUGGUCCUCGCUUUAUAUAGUUUCACUCAGACAUUCUCAGAGGUAUAUAAUGCGUUAAUAAAUGUAAACAUAAGAAAGUCUUAUGGUGAGCAUAAUUUUGACCACGGAUCCUGCUCCUCAGUAGAAUUGUUACCCCUGCAUCACUUUUGAAUUGUGGCUUCCUGGAAGAUAAUAAUGCAGCAGUCAGGCUUUAGACCUUGUAAUGGCACAAUAACUGCUGCAACAGCUGUUGUGGAUGACAUUGUUAACUCCCUUAAUAAAAAGCAACACUAUGGUGCACUCUUUGUAGAUCUGUUCAGGGCUUUUGAUAUUGUUGAUCACAACAUUUUGUUAAAUAACAUGCCUUCUGUGGGUUUUGAUGUUUCUGCUUACAACUGGUUCAAAUAAUUUCUCUGAUAGAGUUUAAACUGUUGUUAUAGAUGGUUUUGAAAUCAAGUCCCUAAAUAGUUGAUAAAAGUCCCUCAAUUAUCAAUAUUAGGCCCACUGCUAUUUACUAUGUAUGUAGUAAGAUUCAUUUUUUCACCUCAGCACUGUAAUGCUCAUUUUUAUGCUGAUGAUCACAUUCUGUAUGUCAUUAGCAUUCACUCACAGUGAAUAUUCACUCACUUUGAGUUAUAUGAAAAGAUUGGAUUGUCAUCACUAGCAUCUUGGACGCAUCAGCAUACCUGUGUCUUCAUGAUAUCUAAGCUGCAGAGAUAUUUUGCAUCCUUAGUUGAGGUCGGACCUAGUAACCAGGACACUAGAUCACAGUUCUGAAUUGGGGAAGACUGGUUUCUGAUACUAUGCACCUUAGUGACCUGCAACACAUCUUGAAGUUAUCUUAUAUUUCUAAUAAUGUUGUGUG